rnacentral:ncRNA from 1 species
UUAAAUUCAUUGAUGAGAACGAGUAGGCGUGCCCCUGAUCUAACAGAGAGUUGGUUGUUGCUGUGAGCCAAUGUUCAGAUCACGUUGAAUAUCCUCUCUGAGAAGGAAAACUGAACUUGUCAAUAAGUUUUCCCGGUCGUUCCACCGUUACAUGGAUUGCGUAUGAAUAUACGGCUAAUGAGUGCCAGCAAAUUGCUACAUAAGUGAGUGCUGGAAUCAGGGUGGUAACACGGGUUCAACUCGUCCCUUUU